rnacentral:rRNA from 1 species
UACGAAGGGGGCUAGCGUUGCUCGGAAUCACUGGGCGUAAAGGGCGCGUAGGCGGAUCUUUAAGUCGGGGGUGAAAGCCCAGGGCUCAACCCUGGAAUUGCCUUCGAUACUGGAGAUCUUGAGACCGGAAGAGGUAAGUGGAACUGCGAGUGUAGAGGUGAAAUUCGUAGAUAUUCGCAAGAACACCAGUGGCGAAGGCGGCUCACUGGUCCGGUACUGACGCUGAGGCGCGAAAGCGUGGGGAGCGAACAGG